GAUGAACGCUGGCGGCGUGCUUAACACAUGCAAGUCGAGCGAGAAGUUUUGAAAAGAUUCUUCGGAUGAAAUUUAAAAUGGAAAGCGGCGGACGGGUGAGUAACGCGUAGGCAACCUGCCCCAUACAAAGGGAUAGCAUUUGGAAACGAAUAUUAAUACCUUAUGAAACUUAACUAGUGCAUGCUAGGUAGGUCAAAGAUUUAUCGGUAUGGGAUGGGCCUGCGUCUGAUUAGCUAGUUGGUGAGGUAACGGCUCACCAAGGCGACGAUCAGUAGCCGACCUGAGAGGGUGAACGGCCACAUUGGAACUGAGACACGGUCCAAACUCCUACGGGAGGCAGCAGUGGGGAAUAUUGCACAAUGGGGGAAACCCUGAUGCAGCAACGCCGCGUGAACGAUGAAGGCCUUUGGGUCGUAAAGUUCUGUUCUAGGUGAUGAAAACUGACAGUAAC
rnacentral:rRNA from 1 species